rnacentral:rRNA from 1 species
GACGAACGCUGGCGGCGUGCCUAACACAUGCAAGUUGAGCGACGAACCAGGGCUUGCCCUGGGGCAAAGCAGCGAACGGGUGAGUAACACGUGGGUAACCUACCCCGAUAACCGGGACAACCCGAGGAAACUCGGGCUAAUACCGGAUGUGCUCACUGGACUUCGGUUCAGUGCGUAAAGGAAGCUUCGGCCUCCGUAUCGGGAGGGGCCAGCGGCCCAUUAGUUAGUUGGUGAGGUAACGGCUCACCAAGACCGCGAUGGGUAGCUGGUCUGAGAGGACGAUCAGCCACACUGGGACUGAGACACGGCCCAGACUCCUACGGGAGGCAGCAGUGGGGAAUCUUGCGCAAUGCGCGAAAGCGUGACGCAGCAACGCCGCGUGGGGGAAGAAGGCCUUCGGGUUGUAAACCCCUUUCAGGAGGGACGAAGGUUCGGCGGUGAAUAGCCGUCCGGACUGACGGUACCUGCACAAGAAGCCCCGGCUAACUACGUGCCAGCCGCCGCGGUAA